AUGUGAUGUGUCAUACGGUGCAUAGGUAUUUUUCUAUUAAAAUAGAAAUUAAACAACUUUGAGUCAUCCGAAAGAUUAGCAUUAACAAUCGAAAGAGUUUCAUUUUAAGCGUCCAGUUUAGUGUCAGUGCAAGAACGGAAAAUGUUUUCCAGCGGACCCAAUUACACAAAAUUGAAAACCCAUCUGCGAUUGGCAGUAAAUCGCCUGAAAUUGCUGGAGAAAAAGAAAACAGAAUUGGCACAGAAAGCGAGAAAAGAAAUCGCUGACUAUCUAGCCACUGGAAAGUAUGAGCGUGCAAAGAUCCGGGUGGAGCACAUAAUUCGCGAAGAUUACCUCGUCGAAGCAAUGGAAAUCGUUGAAAUGUUCUGCGAUCUAUUACUCGCUCGGUUCGGUUUGCUGACACAGAUGAAAGAAUUGGAUUCGGGCAUUGCUGAGCAAGUGUCCAGUUUGAUAUGGGUAGCACCACGUCUCCAGUCCGAUGUUGAAGAGCUGCGAGUCAUAGCCGAUUUGCUCACCUCAAAAUAUGGUAAACCGUUUGCCGAAGUCGCUCGGACGGCCACUGGCGAUCAUAUGGUUUCGGUGAAACUAAUGCAUAAGCUAGCGAUCCAGGCACCGCCGAAAAUCCUCGUAGAGAAAUAUCUGAUUGAGAUUGCCAACAUCUAUCACAUCGAUUACGAACCGGAUCCGCAGGUCAUGAAGGGUGAAGUUGCCAGUGACGGCAUGCUCAUCGAUCUGUCCGAUCGCAAUAACUUAGGAGGUGGUGGAUCUGGCGGAACGCCUCAACCGCCUGGUUUCAUAGGAUAUCCACAAGCGCCUGCAUUGCCUCCGAUGCCAAUGCCUCCAAUGAAUGCACCGUUCAAUUAUCCGAAUAUGGGCGGCGGCAGUGGUGGCGGUGGUAUGAGCAGUGGAAGUGCAAGUGCUCCACCAUUUAACUACAACAUACCACCGAAUCAGGAGAAAAAGGAUUUGAACAUCAACACGGACUUCCUGAACGAGGAAAGUAACGUUCAUCAUCCUCCAGCAUAUUCUUCGGUCAGUCCAGACGAUAACAUUCAGAUGCGAUCCAAUUUACCGCGACGACCCCCAACAUAUUCAUCUGUUAUCAAUAACGAUAACAACAACCAGAAUUUGAAUAAACCAAAACCGCAGCCCCGUUCAAAGAUGACCAACGAGGAGAAUAUCUUCCCGGAUCUUCCCAAUGUUCCAAUGGACCUACCAGAUAUUCCCGGCAGUGGCAGUGGUGGCGAUAAUCAUCCGAAGCCGAAUAACGAUGAAAUCGAUUUCGAUGAUUUGGCUAAACGGUUUGAGGAACUGAAGAAGAAGCGCUAACGAUUUUGGUCAUGGUCACGGUCACGGUUUAUUUUGUCACAAUAGAUAAGAGGAAUUUUAUGGAAUUAAAAAUAAUUGUUGCUGCCGCAUUCAUUGGCCGAUCUAUUCUUAUAAUCAACAGUAAUUCUGCGCAUCUGAGUUCCAGCAGCUGAGCUAACGAUAAACUGUCUGCUGUUAAAAAUAAAUUUUAUUUUCCAUUUUUAAA